rnacentral:misc_RNA from 1 species
UGGUAUACACGAAGAUUUUCUUCAAGUUUCCAUAUAAAUUUUGGCCAUGUGGUCCUGAAAAAGAAUUCUUUAUCUAUGCCCACGAGCGGAGAGGAUACUACACGUUUUGGCAGCACAUGGAGAAUGCAUACCCUGGUUCAAAUGUCCUGGUUGUAACGUUGACCAAUGGGGAAUCGAAACGUGUCGAGACUCAAUCUGACGAGGAGACAUUGAAAGAAGCCAUGCAAGUGCUUAGAGACAUGUUUGGGCCCAACAUACCCAACGCCACUGGUAUUCUUGUGCCCCGCUGGUGGAACAACAGAUUCCAGCGUGGCAGCUACAGCAAUUACCCCG